UACGUAGGGUGCAAGCGUUAUCCGGAAUUAUUGGGCGUAAAGAGCUCGUAGGCGGCUUGUUGCGUCAGCUGUGAAAACCCGCAGCUCAACUGUGGGCUUGCAGCUGAUACGGGCAGGCUUGAGUUCGGUAGGGGAGACUGGAAUUCCUGGUGUAGCGGUGAAAUGCGUAGAGAUCGGGAGGAACACCAGAGGCGAAGGCGGCGACCUGGACAGAUACUGACACUCAACUGCGAAAGCGUGGGGAGCAAACAGG
rnacentral:rRNA from 1 species